CCAAGAUCUGGGGCCCCUGUCGCGCCGCCCUCAGGACUCAAGAGUCCAGAGGCCCUAACCUGGGCUUCGUUGUUAGCUCAACCCUGUGAGCCCGGCAUGGCGCCAGGGACAGUGCAGAGGGUCUUAGCUGCAGCAGUGAGGCGCAGGCUGGGAAUUCGCCCCUGGAGCCCUGGGAAUAAAUGCGGACUCCUGGGGAACAGGGACCAGACCCAACGCCACGUCUGCACCUCUGGUCUCUGGGCAGUGAGGUCAGGCAAAGAGCUGCGCUGAAGGGGACCUUGGGGCCGAGUGGGGGACUCAGCGCCACGGAGCGCCGUAGCUGGCUGACUUGAGCUAAUGUCGCUGCGGCCAACCUCAAAACCCCCGAAGCUGGGACUAAAUGGAUAUCUGGGGGGCAUUGAGCGACGGAGCCCUCCACGAGGGAACUUCGGGAAGAGUUUUGUGCCCAAGAGACUUGGCGGAUAUCUUUGAGAACGUUUCUUAACCAUUGAUUAUUCCAAACCUCAGUUUUCACAUUUGCAAAAUGGGGGGUGAUUAGUCUUUCUCAAGCUGGUCAAGGGUAUUAUGCAAGGGUAGAGAUGCACUUAGUUUUGGAGGAAAAAGGAGACCCCUUGGGUUAGGGUUCGCACUUGUCUGUCCCCGCCCCACCACGAGAGGUUAGACAACUCCGGGGUCGAAUAGCCUGGCAGAACCGGGAAGCCCCGGAGUCCCCAAUUCGCGGGUCCAGGCCCCUUCCCAUCCGAGUCCUGCAGUUACUGCCUCCCCCUCCCCCAACCAGGGGACACUUCCGCUGCAAUCCCAGAAAAUGUCCCAGGUAAAACACAAUCUAUUUUUAAAUCAAGCCAAGCGUUUCCGUAUUUUUUAAGUGCAUUAGGGGUUGUUUGAGAGUUUUAAAACAAACAGUGGCAACAACC
rnacentral:lncRNA from 1 species